UACGUAGGGGGCAAGCGUUGUCCGGAUUUAUUGGGCGUAAAGAGCGUGUAGGCGGCCAUACAGGUCCGUUGUGAAAACUCGAGGCUUAACCUCGAGACGUCGAUGGAAACCGUAUGGCUAGAGUCCGGAAGAGGAGAGUGGAAUUCCUGGUGUAGCGGUGAAAUGCGCAGAUAUCAGGAGGAACACCGGUGGCGAAGGCGGUGAUCUGGGCCGACACUGACGCUGUAGAGCGAAAGCGUGGGGAGCGAACAGG
rnacentral:rRNA from 1 species